rnacentral:rRNA from 1 species
UACGGAGGGUGCAAGCGUUAUCCGGAUUCACUGGGUUUAAAGGGUGCGUAGGCGGGCAUUUAAGUCAGUGGUGAAAUACCUGAGCUUAACUUGGGAACUGCCAUUGAUACUAUUUGUCUUGAAUGUCGUGGAGGUUAGCGGAAUAUGUCAUGUAGCGGUGAAAUGCUUAGAUAUGACAUAGAACACCAAUUGCGAAGGCAGCUUACUACACAAAUAUUGACGCUGAGGCACGAAAGCGUGGGGAUCAAACAGG